rnacentral:rRNA from 1 species
UAUCAGUUAGUUGGUGAGGUAACGGCUCACCAAGGCGACGACGGGUAGCUGGUCUGAGAGGAUGAUCAGUCACACUGGAACUGAGACACGGUCCAGACACCUACGGGUGGCAGCAGUCGAGAAUAAUUCACAAUGGACGAAAGUCUGAUGGUGCAACGCCGCGUGGAGGAUGACGGUCUUCGGAUUGUAAACUCCUGUCAUCGGGGAGUAAGACCUGGCUGUGAAUAGCAGACAGGGUUGAUAGUACCCGAAGAGGAAGGGACGGCUAACUUCGUGCCAGCAGCCGCGGUAAUACGAAGGUCCCGAGCGUUGUUCGGAAUCACUGGGCGUAAAGGGAGCGUAGGCGGCAGGGUAAGUCAGAUGUGAAAUCCCGGGGCUCAACCCCGGAACGGCAUCCGAUACUGCCCUGCUUGAGUAAUGGAGGGGUAGCUGGAAUUCUCGGUGUAGCAGUGAAAUGCGUGGAUAUCGAGAGGAACACUCGUGGCGAAAGCGAGCUACUGGACAUUGACUGACGCUGAGGCUCGAAGGCCAGGGUAGCGAAAGGGAUUAGAUACCCCUGUAGUCCUGGCAGUAAACGGUGUGCGCUUGGUGUGAGGGGUUUCGACCCCCCUUGUGCCGGAGCUAACGCGUUAAGCGCACCGCCUUGGGAAGUACGGUCGCAAGACUAAACUCAAAGAAAUUGACGGGGACCCGCACAAGCGGUGGAGUAUGUGGCUUAAUUCGAUGCAACGCGAAGAACC